rnacentral:lncRNA from 1 species
GUCCCUUCUUUCCGCUCCAACGCACGGAGGGUGAGGUCGGUACGCGGUGGUGGCGUCACGGCGCCAGCUCCUCCCGACGCCGAGGUGGGUUCCGGGAGACCCGCGGGUCUGGCUGCGAGAGACCAUGGGGGCUCAGCUAAGCGGCGGCCGCGGCGCCCCGGAGCCUGCGCAAACCCAGCCCCAGCCCCAGCCCCAGCCUGCGGCGCCGGAGGGCCCGGAACAGCCCCGGCAUCCGCCCCAGCCCCAGCCCCAGCCCCAGCCCCAGCCCCAGCCCGAGCCCAGCCCGUGGGGGCCGCUGGACGACGUGCGCUUCCUCAUCGCCUGCACUUCCUGGUACUGACGGCGUCCUCCGCAGGAUGUCGCCCGUCUGUCCGCCGUCCCCUGUGGUUCUUGCCUGCCUUGUCUCCUCUCCCCACGUCCCUGCGUCUCUUACACCCCCUCCCACCCGAGGCUCCCCAGAGAUAGCAGAGAAUUCGAAGAGGUCGCCGGGGACUGGAAAGAAGUCCCGGCAGGGCCGCCUUCGCAGUCUACACCCCAGCCUGCUUCCCAGCCUACACCCAGACCCAGCUCAGACCUUCGUGACCACCCCAUCCCUUUCUCCGGCUGGCUGGGUCGGGGGCAUCCCUCUCUGUCGCUGGCUUCCAGAGGCAGGACAGGCCUCCUGGUAAGCCCGCAAAGUUGCUGACCUCCUGACUUCGUCUGCCUUUUAUUA